AAGUCGAGCGGAACGAGUUAUCUGAACCUUCGGGGGACGAUAACGGCGUCGAGCGGCGGACGGGUGAGUAAUGCCUAGGAAAUUGCCCUGAUGUGGGGGAUAACCAUUGGAAACGAUGGCUAAUACCGCAUAAUACCUACGGGUCAAAGAGGGGGACCUUCGGGCCUCUCGCGUCAGGAUAUGCCUAGGUGGGAUUAGCUAGUUGGUGAGGUAAUGGCUCACCAAGGCGACGAUCCCUAGCUGGUCUGAGAGGAUGAUCAGCCACACUGGAACUGAGACACGGUCCAGACUCCUACGGGAGGCAGCAGUGGGGAAUAUUGCACAAUGGGCGCAAGCCUGAUGCAGCCAUGCCGCGUGUGUGAAGAAGGCCUUCGGGUUGUAAAGCACUUUCAGUCGUGAGGAAGGUAGUGUAGUUAAUAGCUGCAUUAUUUGACGUUAGCGACAGAAGAAGCACCGGCUAACUCCGUGCCAGCAGC
rnacentral:rRNA from 1 species